rnacentral:rRNA from 1 species
GACGCACGCUGGCGGCGUGCUUAACACAUGCAAGUCGAACGGAAAGGCCCGGCUUUUGUGGGUUGCUCGAGUGGCGAACGGGUGAGUAACACGUGAGUAACCUGCCCUUGCUUUUGGGAUAACUUCAGGAAACUGGGGCUAAUACCUGCUAGGAGCUCCUGCUGCAUUGUGGGGGGUGGAGAGUUUCGGCGGUUGGGGAUGGACUCGCGGCUUAUCAGCUUGUUUGUGGGGUAGUGGAUUACCAAGGCAUUGACGGGUAGGCGGCCUGACAGGGUGACCGGCCACAUUGGGACUGAGAUACGGCCCAGACUCCUACGGGAGGCAGCAGUGGGGAAUAGUGCACAAUGGGCGGAAGCCUGAUGCAGCAACGCUGCGUGCGGGAUGACGGCCUUCGGGUUGUAAACCGCUUUCGCAUGUGACGAAGCGUGAGUGACGGUAAUGGGUAAAGAAGCACCGGCUAACUACGUG